rnacentral:rRNA from 1 species
CCUACGGGCGGCAGCAGUGGGGAAUCUUCCGCAAUGGACGAAAGUCUGACGGAGCAACGCCGCGUGAGUGAUGAAGGUCUUCGGAUUGUAAAGCUCUGUUAAUCGGGACGAAAGAUCUUUGCGUGAAUAAUGCAGAGAAGUGACGGUACCGGAAUAGAAAGCCACGGCUAACUACGUGCCAGCAGCCGCGGUAAUACGUAGGUGGCAAGCGUUGUCCGGAAUUAUUGGGCGUAAAGCGCGCGCAGGCGGAUCAGUCAGUCUGUCUUAAAAGUUCGGGGCUUAACCCCGUGAUGGGAUGGAAACUGCUGAUCUAGAGUAUCGGAGAGGAAAGUGGAAUUCCUAGUGUAGCGGUGAAAUGCGUAGAUAUUAGGAAGAACACCAGUGGCGAAGGCGACUUUCUGGACGAAAACUGACGCUGAGGCGCGAAAGCCAGGGGAGCGAACGGGAUUAGAUACCCUGGUAGUC